rnacentral:misc_RNA from 1 species
UACGUAGGGGGCAAGCGUUAUCCGGAUUUACUGGGUGUAAAGGGAGCGUAGACGGCGUAUCAAGUCUGAUGUGAAAGGCAUGGGCUCAACCCGUGGACUGCAUUGGAAACUGGUAUGCUUGAGUGCCGGAGGGGUAAGCGGAAUUCCUAGUGUAGCGGUGAAAUGCGUAGAUAUUAGGAGGAACACCAGUGGCGAAGGCGGCUUACUGGACGGUAACUGACGUUGAGGCUCGAAAGCGUGGGGAGCAAACAGG